CUCCCAGCUGCGUAGUUGGUUUAACGCGUUCGGUUGCAAUAGUUGCUUGAUUGCCGAGGGAUCACCAGUUCGAUUCAGGGCUAGCAGA